rnacentral:rRNA from 1 species
UACGAAGGGGGCUAGCGUUGCUCGGAAUCACUGGGCGUAAAGGGUGCGUAGGCGGGUCUUUAAGUCAGGGGGGAAAUCUUGGAGCUUAACUCCGAAACUGCAUUCGAUACUGCCGUGCUUGAGGACUGGAGAGGAGACUGGAAUUUACGGUGUAGCGGUGAAAUGCGUAGAUAUCGUAAGGAAGACCAGUGGCGAAGGCGGGUCUCUGGACAGUUCCUGACGCUGAGGCACGAAGGCCAGGGGAGCAAACGGG